rnacentral:rRNA from 1 species
UCAGACGAACGCUGGCAGCGUGGAUUAGGCGAUGCAAGUCGAACGGGAUCCGGAAGGUAGCAAUAUCGGCCGGUGAGAGUGGCGAAGGGCGAGGAACACGUGGGCAACCUGUCUUUGAGGUGGGGAAAACCGCUGGAAACGGCGGCUAAUACCGAAUGUAGCGCCCGCUCGCAUGAGCGGAGCGCCAAAGGGGGCGAAAGCUCCCCCUCUUCGAGGGGCCCGCGCACCAUCAGCUUGUUGGCGGGUAACGGCCCACCAAGGCUCACGGUUAGCUGGUCUGAGAGGAUGGCCAGCCGCACUGGGACUGAGAUACUGCCCAGACUCCUACGGGAGGCUGCAGUCGAGGAUCAUUUGCAAUGGGCGAAAGCCUGACAAUGCGACGCUGCGUGGAAGGAUGAAGGCCCUCGGGUUGUAAACUCCUGUCAUGGGGGAAAAGGAAACUCCACCUAAUACGUGGGGGAUUUGAUGGUACCCCAAGAGGAAGCGACGGCUAACUCUGUGCCAGCAGCAGC